AGGAAUGUAUAGCAAUAGCUACUUGCAUCAUUGUACAAAUGGUGCAAGAUCGACUAUGUCGAAUAAAAUUCUAGGUAGAAUUUUGAUAAUGACAUUGUCUGCCUAUGUGUCUUGACCAAAUUACGUGCCAGCAGUCGCGGUAAUACGUAGAAGACUAGUGUUAUUCAUGUUUAAUCGGUUUAAAGGGUACCUAGACGGUAGAUCAAGCUUUCACAUAAAAGGAUAAAACAUAAAUAAAGAACAAUUAUAGAAAGGACUAAUUUGCUAGAGUUACUUACGAGGGGGUAUUAAAGUACUGCUGGUGUAGAGAUGAAAUUCUGUCAUACCUCUUUUCGAAAGAAAAAUCAUGGCACAGGUAUAGGCGAAGGCAUCCCCUUAUGUGAUAACUGACGUUGAGGGACGAAGGCUUUGUGUAACAAACAGGAUUAGAUACCCUAGUAGUUGAAGCAGAAAAUGAUGAAUGUCAUAGAUUAGAUAUAUAAGUUUAUUCUAUAAAUGAAAAGUGUAAGCAUUCCACCUCAUGAGUAAUUUGGCAACAUUGGAACUGAAAUCAUUAGACCGUUUCUGAAACCAGUAGUGAAGUAUGUUGUUUAAUUUGAUGAUCCGCAAAAAACCUUACCACAAUUUGAAUAUUUAUAUUUUUUUUAUUGUUUUCUUAUUAAUUUUCUUCUAAUAACAUAUAUAAAUAACAAAAUAAAAAAAAAAAGAAAAAAAUUAAGAAAGAGGCUAUAAUAUAUAUUUACAAGCGUUGCACGGCUGUCUUCAGUUAAUGUCGCGAGACUUUGGUUAGUUCCAUUAAAUUAACGUAAACCCUUACUUUAUUUUUAGAUAGAGUAGUUCCCCGCUAUAUAGGAUAUGAUACGGACUAA
rnacentral:rRNA from 1 species